UUGGGUCAGGGUUCACAAACGCUGAUUUUAGUAACACUAACCCAGGGCGCUUAAUGGGAACUUAGGCUAUGGGAACUGGUCCAUAUUUGGGGGCUGAUGGUGACGCCCAAGUCUUAGCGCUCAGGUAGUUAAGUACAAUAAAGAAGACCUGUCACAGAGCAGAGAGCGGGAGGAAUGCGCAGUCCGCGAGAGGUGGCAGCUACAGAAACGUCAUUCGGUGCGAUCUGAACGAGGAGACCCGAGACGAGACCAGGGAGGAGACGGGCACUUGGUGGUUGGUGUAUGAGGAAUGAGCUUUGGUGCACUGUGCACAGUGUUCACAUAAACCCAUUGAGGACACCCUUCAGCGAUGCUUUUCUAUUUGGUACUUGUAGCUGGUACAGACUCAGAAGGUUCAGCCCUCAGGGAAUUCUGACAGCUGGAUGAAAUGCUGAAUGGAGGGGGAAAUCGUUACCUUAUGUGCCAUACUGUGUGCAGCCCUCUUCUCCACGAUCUUUCAAAUGUGAUCCUUUCUCCCUGCUCCUCAGAACAAAGGCACUCUCUGCUGAACUUCACUUCCAAAUGCUUAACAUAAGAGAAAAGGACCCCUAGACCAACCUGGCUGGUGUGGUGCUUCUCCUUUGCAAAGUUCCCUUGAAGAGUUUAGUGUGUUUAUUUAUUCUGUGUGCCUCAUGCAGAGGUCAAUAAUGCUGUAAACAGAGACGAGCUCCAGGCUUAGUGAAGCAAAUUACAGAAUAUUGAAAAG